rnacentral:tRNA from 1 species
UGCGGGAUGGCGUAACUGGCAGCCGCGUUGGACUCAAAACCCGAUGGCGCAAGCCGUGAGGGUUCAAGUCCCUCUCCCGCAA